rnacentral:rRNA from 1 species
UACGUAGGGGGCAAGCGUUAUCCGGAUUCAUUGGGCGUAAAGCGCGCGCAGGCGGGCUGCUAAGCGGGACCUCUAAUCUUGGGGCUCAACCUCAAGCCGGGUCCCGAACUGGCAGCCUCGAGUGCGGUAGGGGUAAGCGGAAUUCCCGGUGUAGCGGUGGAAUGCGCAGAUAUCGGGAAGAACACCGAUGGCGAAGGCAGCUUACUGGGCCGACACUGACGCUGAGGCGCGAAAGCUAGGGGAGCGAACAGG